CUUUACUGUAGCCUGGUAUUGGGUUCGGGCUUUGACUGCGCAGGAUAGGUGGGAGACUAUGAAGCAAUCCUUGUGGGGGUUGCUGAGUCAACGGUGAGAUACCACUCUGUCAGAGCUAGAAUUCUAACUAAAUGCCGUUAUCCGGCUUUGGAACGUAUCAGGUGGGCAGUUUGACUGGGGCGGUCGCCUCCUAAAAGGUAACGGAGGCCCGCAAAGGUUCUCUCAGGCUGGUUGGAAAUCAGCCGUAGAGUGUAAAGGCAGAAGAGAGCUUGACUGCAAGAGCUACAACUCGAGCAGGGUGGAAACACGGCCUUAGUGAUCCGACGGCGCUGAGUGGAAGGGCCGUCGCUCAACGGAUAAAAGUUA
rnacentral:rRNA from 1 species